CCCCUAGAUGUUCUGGGCCGCACGCGCGCUACACUGAACAGUUCAACAAGUCUUAACCUUGGCCGAUAGGUCUGGGUAAUCUUUGAACGCUGUUCGUGAUUGGGAUAGACCUUUGCAAUUAUGGGUCUUCAACGAGGAAUUCCUAGUAAACGCAAGUCAUCAGCUUGCAUUGAUUACGUCCCUGCCCUUUGUACACACCGCCCGUCGCACCUACCGAUUGAAUGGUCCGGUGAAAAUUUCGGACAGUGACGAUGCUGGCGGUCCGCCGCCGGCGCUGUCGCUGGAAGAUCUUUAAACCUUAUCAUUUAGAGGAAGGAGAANUCGUANCA
rnacentral:rRNA from 1 species